rnacentral:rRNA from 1 species
UACGUACGAGGCGAGCGUUAUCCGGAAUACUGGGCGUAAAGCGCGCCGCAGGUGGCGAGUUAAGUGAGACGUGAAAUCUCCCGGCCUAACUGGGAGGGGUCGUUUCAUACUGGCUGGCUUGAGGACUGCAGAGGUGGGUGGAAUUCCUGGUGUAGUGGUGAAAUGCGUAGAGAUCAGGAGGAACACCGGUGGCGAAGGCGGCCCACUGGGCAGUCACUGACGCUGGAGGCGCGAAAGCUCGGGGAGCGAACGGG